GACGAACGCUGGCGGCGUGCUUAACACAUGCAAGUCGAACGGUGAAGCACCUUCCUUUUGGUGGGUGUGGAUGAGUGGCGAACGGGUGAGUAACACGUGAGUAACCUGCCCCCUUCUUCUGGAUAACCGCAUGAAAGUGUGGCUAAUACGGGAUAUUCUGUGCCUGCUGCAUGGUGGGUGUGGGAAAGAUGCGCUUUUGGGUGUUUUUGGUGGGGGAUGGGCUCGCGGCCUAUCAGCUUGUUGGUGGGGUGAUGGCCUACCAAGGCGGUGACGGGUAGCCGGCCUGAGAGGGUGGACGGUCACACUGGGACUGAGACACGGCCCAGACUCCUACGGGAGGCAGCAGUGGGGAAUAUUGCACAAUGGGCGCAAGCCUGAUGCAGCGACGCCGCGUGAGGGAUGGAGGCCUUCGGGCUGUAAACCUCUUUCGCCAGUGAAGCAGGCCUGUCCCUUGUGGGUGGAUUGACGGUAGCUGGAUAAGAAGCGCCGGCUAACUACGUG
rnacentral:rRNA from 1 species